GAUGAACGCUGGCGGGGGGAAGAAGAAAAGAAAGUAGAGGGAACAGAUGAGUAGCUUGCUCCUCUGACGUUAGCGGCGGACGGGUGAGUAACACGUGGAUAACCUACCUAUAAGACUGGGAUAACUUCGGGAAACCGGAGCUAAUACCGGAUAAUAUAUUCAACCGCAUGGUUCAAUAGUGAAAGACGGUUUUGCUGUCACUUAUAGACUGAUCCGCGCCGCAUUAGCUAGUUGGUAAGGUAACGGCUUACCAAGGCAACGAUGCGUAGCCGACCUGAGAGGGUGAUCAGCCACACUGGAACUGAGACACGGUCCAGACUCCUACGGGAGGCAAAAGUAGGGAAUAUUGCACAAUGGGCGAAAGCCUGAUGGAGCAACGCCGCGUGAGUGAUGAAGGUAUUCGGAUCGUAAAACUCUGUUAUUAGGGAAGAACAAAUGUGGAAGUAACUAUGCACGUCUUGACGGUACCUAAGAAAAGAGCCACGGCAAACUACGUA
rnacentral:rRNA from 1 species